rnacentral:lncRNA from 1 species
UAUCUCCUUUUCUUCUCUGCUCUUUGGGAUCCAAGAGUUGCGACGGUGAUUCAAAUGGUUUGUCUGCAAAGAGUUAUACAUAAUAUUAUGAAGUUAUAUGAGACGGUCAAACAUUAAUUCUGUGUUUAAUGGUUUGACGAAGAUUUGAAUCAUAUUCCACAUACCAGGAGUUGACAUUGAUCAUACAGUGCUCGAUGGAGACAACUAUAUGUGUGUGCUAUGUUGAGAAGGUGACCCACUUAUAAUUCCAAUGACAAGCGAUGAUUGCAGGUUUAAAAUCUUUUCUUUUGAGUUGUCUGCAAGUAGCAUAAAAGGGGUUUGCUUAAAUUCAGAGAGGAGAUCUAUUAUGCGAUCUGUAACAUAAACUUGAUUCAAACAAAUGAAUUAGCCUAGGUGCAUCGAUUAAAUCAGUAAGGAAAACCAUGGCAUGCUGUUCUAUCAUGGAAAGAAAUUUUG